UUACGGUCAUAUCGCAUUAAAACACUAGUUCUUGUAUGAUCAUCGUAGUUAAGCAAUAUCGAGCCUGGUCAGUACCUAGAUUGGUGACCGUUUGGGAAUACCAGCUGAUGUAUG